AAACUUACCUGGCACCGGGAUCAGGGUGAUCACGGAUACCCUGACUCCAGGUGGAGGCUCGUCCUUGCCUGCGACGAUCCCUAAUCGGGCUCGCUCGGGCGCAUAGUUUUUGCCAGUGGGAAGGUCUUCGGACCAUCCCUU
rnacentral:snRNA from 1 species